rnacentral:rRNA from 1 species
UCUUCACCGAGUGCUUGCACUCACCGAAGAAACUGAGCCCCUAACGGGUGAGUAACACGUGGGUAACCUGCCCAAAAGAGGGGGAUAACACUUGGAAACAGGUGCUAAUACCGCAUAACAACAAAAACCGCCUGGUUUUUGUUUAAAAGAUGGUUUCGGCUAUCACUUUUGGAUGGACCCGCGGCGUAUUAGCUAGUUGGUAAGGUAACGGCUUACCAAGGCAGUGAUACGUAGCCGAACUGAGAGGUUGAUCGGCCACAUUGGGACUGAGACACGGCCCAAACUCCUACGGGAGGCAGCAGUAGGGAAUCUUCCACAAUGGACGCAAGUCUGAUGGAGCAACGCCGCGUGAGUGAAGAAGGUUUUCGGAUCGUAAAACUCUGUUGUUAGAGAAGAACGUGCGUGAGAGUAACUGUUCAUGCAGUGACGGUAUCUAACCAGAAAGCCACGGCUAACUACGUGCCAGCAGCCGCGGUAAUACGUAGGUGGCAAGCGUUGUCCGGAUUUAUUGGGCGUAAAGGGAACGCAGGCGGUCUUUUAAGUCUGAUGUGAAAGCCUUCGGCUUAACCGAAGUCGUGCAUUGGAAACUGGGAGACUUGAGUGCAGAAGAGGAGAGUGGAACUCCAUGUGUAGCGGUGAAAUGCGUAGAUAUAUGGAAGAACACCAGUGGCGAAAGCGGCUCUCUGGUCUGUAACUGACGCUGAGGUUCGAAAGCGUGGGUAGCAAACAGGAUUAGAUACCCUGGUAGUCCACGCUGUA